GUAGGGUGCAAGCGUUAAUCGGAAUUACUGGGCGUAAAGCGUGCGCAGGCGGUUCGGAAAGAAAGAUGUGAAAUCCCAGAGCUUAACUUUGGAACUGCAUUUUUAACUACCGGGCUAGAGUGUGUCAGAGGGAGGUGGAAUUCCGCGUGUAGCAGUGAAAUGCGUAGAUAUGCGGAGGAACACCGAUGGCGAAGGCAGCCUCCUGGGAUAACACUGACGCUCAUGCACGAAAGCGUGGGGGAGCAAACAGGAUUAGAUACCCUGGUAGUCCACGCCCUAAACGAUGUCAACUAGCUGUUGGGGGCCUUCGGGCCCUUAGUAGCGCAGCUAACGCGUGAAGUUGACCGCCUGGGAGUACGGUCGCAAGAUUA
rnacentral:rRNA from 1 species